rnacentral:rRNA from 1 species
AAAACGACUCUCGGCAACGGAUAUCUCGGCUCUCGCAUCGAUGAAGAACGUAGCGAAAUGCGAUACUUGGUGUGAAUUGCAGAAUCCCGUGAACCAUCGAGUUUUUGAACGCAAGUUGCGCCCAAAGCCAUCAGGCCAAGGGCACGUCUGCCUGGGCGUCACGCAUCACGUCGCCC